rnacentral:rRNA from 1 species
UACGAAGGGGGCUAGCGUUGUUCGGAAUCACUGGGCGUAAAGGGCGCGUAGGCGGCGCGACAAGUCACUUGUGAAAUCUCCGGGCUUAACUCGGAACGGUCAAGUGAAACUGUCAUGCUAGAGUGCAGAAGGGGCAAUCGGAAUUCUUGGUGUAGCGGUGAAAUGCGUAGAUAUCAAGAGGAACACCUGAGGUGAAGACGGGUUGCUGGGCUGACACUGACGCUGAGGCGCGAAAGCCAGGGGAGCAAACGGG